UGUAAAUCGUUGAAGAGGACAGUAGCUUUUUGAUUUCACUUCAGAGAGAAGCCGGCGGGUGCGAGGCUUUGUGAUGGUAAAAGUGAAAACCACCUCCGAGAGGUCCUUAAUCGGACCCGUUGAUCACGUUACAAUCAUCAAAAGUGGUUGCUGCACCUGUGCAGCAGCAAUUUGGGUGGAACCGCGAGAUAUCGUCCCAAUC
rnacentral:ncRNA from 1 species